UACGGAGGGAGCUAGCGUUGUUCGGAAUUACUGGGCGUAAAGCGCACGUAGGCGGCUACUCAAGUCAGAGGUGAAAGCCCAGGGCUCAACCUUGGAACUGCCUUUGAAACUAGGUAGCUAGAAUUCUGGAGAGGUCAGUGGAAUUCCGAGUGUAGAGGUGAAAUUCGUAGAUAUUCGGAAGAACACCAGUGGCGAAGGCGAUUGACUGGACAGAUAUUGACGCUGAGGUGCGAAAGCGUGGGGAGCAAACAGG
rnacentral:rRNA from 1 species